rnacentral:lncRNA from 1 species
ACCAGCCAGGCUGCCCCGCCAUUUGUCACCGGGGCCGGGCGGGGGGUGGGGGGGGCUGGGGGCGGGCGGGGGGCGCGGCGGCGGCGGCUGCUGCGGGAGGUGCCCGGCGCGGCGACGGCGGCUGAGCGGAGCCUGAGCCGCUCUGUGCGGGGCCGGCCGCAGCCGGAGCCGCAGCCCCGGGGCGGGAGCUCGCCCCCGCCGCUGCCGCGGUGCCCGGGGAGCGCGGAGCCGGGCGGAGCCGGAGCGGCGGAGGAUGCGCCGGGCCCCGCCGAGCCCAGCCCAGCUGCAGCGCGGCGCCGCUCGCCCGACCGCCCAUCGGAGCACCCUGCACUUGGGAGCCAUGAGCCACCCCCAGCAGCCACAGAGCCGCCGGAGCAGCCCCCUGUGCCCACCCCCCCGGUGCUGAUAGCCCCUCUGCUGCAGCCUACACGUGGUCCUCCAGAGGUCUCACACCUAGCAGCGGGUCCCUGCAGGACUCCAGCUCCGGGCUCUGUUCCAGGGCUGGUCCCAUGAGCCAGGAAGGCUUGCACUGCCCUUUGCACCCGGGGCUGUGGCUCCCCACCCUUGCUGAGCUCCUCAGGAUCCCCCUCCAGCACCCGACACAAAGCUGCUGCACUCUGCUGCCACGGUAGGUGCCCGGGCUGCCUGCCCUACACCACCCUGUACUGCUGUAUGCUGCCCUAUACUGUCCUAUACUGCCAUACAGCGGGGAGAUCUUGAUGGUAUGUGGGUGGUUGUACUGAAUGAUAUUGGAGCUCCUUUCCAACCUUGGUGACUCUAUGAAUCUAUGAUGCUGUGAUUCUAUACCGCCCUGUGCUGCCCUAUACAGCCCUAUGCUGCCCUAUAGUGGGGAAAUAUUGCUUGUAGAGGGGUGGUUGGACUGGAUGAUCUUGGAGCUCUUUUCCAACCUCUGGUGACUCUAUGAUUCUAUGACACU